AGAUGUCGUUCUAUUCUCUAAUAUAUAAAUAUAUAGAUGUCUUUCUGAACGUGAGUAGUUAUCGUAGGUUUAAUGUUAUUAUCACAGUGGGUUGAACAAGUUGGACGUGAGUAGUUAUCGUAGGUUUAAUGUUGUCAUUACAGCGGGUUGAACAAGUUGGACGUGAGUAGUUAUCGUAGGUUUAAUGUUGUUAUCCCAGUGGGUUGAACAAGUUGAACGUGAGUAGUUAUCGUAGGUUUAAUGUUGUUAUCACAGUGGGUUGAACAGGUUGAACGUGAGUAGUUAUCGUAGGUUUAAUGUUGUUAUCACAUUGGGUUGUACAAGUUGAACGUGAGUAGUUAUCGUAGGUUUAAUGUUGUUAUCACAGUGGGUUGAACAAGUUGGACGUGAGUAGUUAUCGUAGGUUUAAUGUUGUUAUCACAGUGGGUUGAACAAGUUGGACGUGAGUAGUUAUCGUAGGUUUAAUGUUGUUAUCACAGUGGGUUGAACAAGUUGGACGUGAGUAGUUAUCGUAGGUUUAAUGUUCUUAUCACAGUGGGUUGAACAAGUUGAACCAGUUUUAUUCAUAAAACCAUAUUUGUGUCUGCAUGAAGGUCAAAGAAAGGAGAAUAAUAAUCCAUCGGACAGAGUAAUAGAAAAUGGUGUAUCUCCUGACAAAACGUUACCUUUUGUGUCCAGUCGACGUCAGCAGAACAAAAGGUCAUCUCCGGUCAUCCUCUGUUCUACGUCGAGCUUCCGUGCUCUACCAUUGUCCAGUUCCGUCUCUCUACCUGGUCUGAAUGUUAGUGACAACUAUGACCCACCUAAGUGCCUGACUCCAAUUCAAGGCCUGAAAUCAAAUACAGGUAACCUACCCUUGUCGUCUGUUAAAGAGCUCGGAAUGCCCUCUAGGUGUUUUGGUGCAAAGCGAAACGUGAAACAACUUGGAGAAUGAAGUUUGACAGUGUUAGAAACUCUGAUGUUUUGUUUCUUGAUCCAGCCCUAGAAGUGUGUGAUAUAUGUUCCUUAUUGGAGAAAAACGAUGUAAAAUACACGUUAUUUAUGUUCUACUUAUAUUUUAUUAAAGUAAAAUUCACCAGAUCAGAGAAAAUAAGUGUCUCUUUAUGACUCCAGGAAACAGUCGGUAAUAGAAAAAAUUCAAAGUUCUACAGCACCUGGCGGCAAACUUCAUGACUCUAGAAAACAGUCGGUAAUGGAAAAAAUACAAACUUCUACAGCACCUGGCGGCAAACUUCAUGACUCUAGAAAACAAUCGGUAAUGGAAAAAAUUCAAACUUCUACAGCACCUGGCGGCAAACUUCAUGACUCUAGAAAACAAUCGGUAAUGGAAAAAAAUACAAACUUCUACAGCACCUGGCGGCAAACUUCAUGACUCCAGGAAACAGUCAGUAAUGGAAAAAAAUACAAACUUCUACAAGCACGUGGUGGCAAAACUUCAUGGCUCUAGAAAACAGUCGGUAAUGGAAAAAAAUACAAACUUCUACAGCACUGGUGGCAAACUUCAUGACUCUAGAAAACAGUCGGUAAUGGAAAAAAAUACAAACUUCUACAGCACCUGGUGGCAAACUUCAUGACUCUAGAAAACAGUCGGUAAUGGAAAAAAAUACAAACUUCUACAGCACUGGUGGCAAACUUCAUGACUCCAGGAAACAGUCGGUAAUGGAAAAAAAUACAAACUUCCACAGCAACUGGU